rnacentral:rRNA from 1 species
AGGACGAACGCUGGCGGCGUGCUUAACACAUGCAAGUCGAGCGGAAAGGCCCUUCGGGGUACUCGAGCGGCGAACGGGUGAGUAACACGUGAGCAACCUGCCCUUAGCUCCGGGAUAGCUCCGGGAAACCGGAAUUAAUACCGGAUAUGACCUAGGCCGACAUCGGCUGUGGUGGAAAGUUUUUCGGCUGGGGAUGGACUCGCGGCCUAUCAGCUUGUUGGUGGGGUAAUGGCCUACCAAGGCGACGACGGGUAGCCGGCCUGAGAGGGCGACCGGCCACACUGGGACUGAGACACGGCCCAGACUCCUACGGGAGGCAGCAGUGGGGAAUCUUGCGCAAUGGGCGAAAGCCUGACGCAGCGACGCCGCGUGGGGGAUGAAGGCCUUCGGGUUGUAAACCCCGUUUCAGCAGGGACGAAGCGAAAGUGACGGUACCUGCAGAAGAAGCGCCGGCUAACUACGCGCCAGCAGCCGC